rnacentral:rRNA from 1 species
AACUUUCAACAAAGGAUCUCUUGGCUCUCGCAUCGAUGAAGAACGCAGCGAAGCGCGAAAUGUAGUGUGAAUCGCAGAACAUUGUGAAUCAUCGAAUCUUUGAACGCACAUUGCGCCUCCUGUAACAGGGAGGCAUGCCUGUCUGAGUCUCAUUU